AGGACGAACGCUGGCGGCGUGCUUAACACAUGCAAGUCGAGCGGAAAGGCCCUUCGGGGUACUCGAGCGGCGAACGGGUGAGUAACACGUGAGUAACCUGCCCCAGGCUUUGGGAUAACCCCUCGGAAACGGGGGCUAAUACCGGAUAUUCAUUUCUCGUGGCAUCACGGGUUGUGGAAAGUUUUUCGGCUUGGGAUGGGCUCGCGGCCUAUCAGCUUGUUGGUGGGGUGAUGGCCUACCAAGGCGACGACGGGUA
rnacentral:rRNA from 1 species